rnacentral:tRNA from 1 species
AGAAUGAUAAGCUAAAUUAUUAAGCUAAUGGGCUCAUAUCCCAUUUAUAGAGGAUACUCCUCUUUAUUCUA